UAAACUGGUCUCUCACUCUCUCCUGGUACCACUUCAGCCCUAAAGUGUUCCUUUUAGACCAAAAGGCCUGCACAGGCUUUAGCAUCUGGAUUGUUGAGAAGGAAAUGCAGGCAUUAGCGAGCUCCGGUUGAAACUCUUGCAACUCAGUUUGCAAUGCCAGGUUUUUGACGUUUGAGUUGGCGUGAAAGAUGCAAUUUGAAAGGAUUUCCAUCCUGUAUCUCAUACAUGGCAGCGAUUUUGAUGUCAUAUCCAAUUUCUUUAUGUCAUGUGUUGGCUGGCUUGGUCCAUUUCACAUUUAUUUUGGUUACAAGCUUUUGCCGUUGCCAACCCUUUUUGAAAGUAUUGCCUGCGAGUCAGUCUGAAGGAUAAGGAUUUUGGUGAUGAAUGAGAAACCCUUCGUGCUAUUUCGGCAUACCAUUGGCAGAAGCCCUCUGGAAAAUGUGCUUUUUGUACUUUGCCAACAGCAUUGCAGGCAUAUAGGAUGAUCUCCUCUGCUGACUAAAAGUAACAUUGGCAAGUCUCUGGGAACAAUAUACGUCAUGGGUUCCUGUAGCAUUUAGAUGCACUCUGCUGUAGAACAGUGUAGGUGAGCUAAGUUAUUGUCUGAAGGUUUCUGAUUUCUCCUCCGGUUACCAUGUACGAGCUGAGUCUGUGCAGCCAUGUAUCUUACUAUGGAUCUCAAGG